UUAAGGCCCCCCCUAUGACAAUCGAAGCAGCCCUGACAAGAAAAACGAGAUAGUGUGCGGUUGAUCGGUCAUGCAAUCUGUCAAAUUUUCAAAAAAUACAGUUUGUUUACAUUUUGAACCGAACGAUAGCUCUCACGAUGUACAACGGCGAAUGAUUAAAAAAAGGCUACUUCGGUGAUGAAAAUGUUGUGUGUAAUGUGUACAAUAAACAGCCUAAAAAUUAUAAAUGGUGGUAGAAUCGACUUCGCACGCCUGAAAGCCGUUUAGGCUGUUGUGCAACCGUGUUGAGCCGGCGAUAGUUAGAAAGAGGGAAGAAAGAAUGCCCGCAAUCAAACUAAACGAUGUUUGAUCAUGGAAAACAAGUUAAAAAGCAUACAAAGCUCGCUCGCUGUUGGACGCUUGGACAAUUACUUUUACAAUCAUUCGGUGAUCAGUUUGCGAAACGUCUUGCCGCACGCCUGGUACAGGCCCUUCUUGUCCGCGUCGGUAUCGAUCGUGGACUGAUCGUUCGGCAGCGUCAGCAUCAUCACCUUCAUCUGCGGGUAGUUGUGGUACGGCACAGUUCCGGUCGCCAUCUCGAUCGCGGUAAUGCCGAACGACUAGAAGCCGUAUCCGUGGUCCCGCUCCAUCUCCUCCGGCGCCAUCCAGCACGACGUGCCGAUAAACGUGUGGUACACCUUCUGCCGCGACAUGUCUCCAUCGGUGGCGAGCCACGCGCUCAUCCGCUAUAUUUAAGGAGCCGUCGUCGCCGGGCAGUAUGAUGGCCACCUUGAUGUCCACGUAAUGAGCAAUGCGAAAUGUGCACUCAAUUGGCAAGCGCACAGCAAGAUCCAGCAAACGUUACCGACAGUCUUUGUCGCCGUGAAAAUGCUUCUAAUGCACGGGUGAGUUGCAUUAUAACUACAAGCAUACGUUUUUUUCCUUUCUUUAGUUUCAGCUAAUGCCAGACGAACGAUCGAAUGACUGUUGCUUCGGAAGGGAGGUCGUAUUACAGAUAGCGGUGUAGUGUUGUGAUAUAGUGAUUGUGUGUACAUUUAAGGUGUAAAGGGUGAUUAAUGCUAGUAACGUUGUGUAAUGUUAUGCAGAACAAAA